GUAUAUGAAAUGAAUAUUAUUUUAAGGAUCUAAAGUUAAUACUUAAAAGUGAUAAAAAGGUUAAAAUUUAACCAAUCAUAUCAUGAAAAUGAGUAAAGAGAAAUCAAGUGGAAUGAAACAUCUGAGUAACUUGAAAGUAACCAACAGGGGCUAUAUAAGUAACGGUGAGUGAAAGUAUAGUAGUCUAAAAGUAUUACCAAGAGGUAAGAAUAAAGUAGUAUCAACUACUAAGACGUAAAAUAAGUAUUAAACUAAAAGUACCGUAAGGGAAAAGGAGUAAAUAGAAUAAUAGAGAGCAGUUAUAGUAUAACGUACCUCUUGUAUAAUGGGCCAGUGAGUUAUAUAUAUUAGUGAAGUAAUUUAUAAAUAAAUUGAGUUUAAUCAAUCUAUAAUUAAUGUAUAUAGGCCCGAAAGCAAACGAUCUACACAUGUCCAAGUGUAUAUACGUCCGUUUUAAAAGAGCGGACCUUUAUAUGGCUGAAUAGGUGGAUGUAGCAAUAUUCUCUAAAGAGGUGUGUGUAGUAGUGACAGACAAAUCUGGUUUGCCGAUAGCUGGUUUUCUGCGAAAUAUAUUUUAGUAUAGCCUUUAUUUAAUUAUAAACUGGUACAGCACUUAAAUACCUUUGGGGGGUUAGAAUAUAACUUUAUCAAAAUAUUUAAAACUCCGGAAUCAGUAUAUCAUUUAAUAAGGAGUCAGACUUAUUGCGAUAAGGUAGUAAGUCGAAAAGGAAACAACCUAGACUAUUAUAUGUAUGUCCCAAAUAUAUAUAUAUAAUUUUUUAUAGAUUAUAUAAUUAUUAAGUGAACAAAAUCUAUAUUAUAAAUGAUAGACAAUCAGUCAGCGGGUUUGACAAUAAUCAUCUGUUAAUGGACAUGUAACAAUGCACUGAUAUGAUAUAGAUAUAUAUCAUUACUUUUAGUAAGAUAUAUAUUUUUCUUAUAAAUAGAGAAAAUAUACGGGUCUAAAUAUAUAACAGAAUAAUAGAUAUGUUAAUUUAACAUAUGGUAGCAGAAUAUAUAAUGUAAAAUUAUAAAGAUAUUGCUGGCUUGAGUAACGAUAGGUAAUAUAAGAUUACCCUCCUAAUUCAUAAGGUUUUACUAUAAAUGAACGGUCCCUAAGAUGAGUAUAGAAAUAUAUAGUUAAUGGGUGAAAGAACAAGAAAAUAAAAAAGAACCGUACUGUAGACCGACACAGGUAUGAUAAAGGAGAAUGAGAUAACUACUAUGAAUGAACUCGGCAAAUUAGCAUAAAGCUUUAGUCGUGCGACUGUUUACCAAAAACAUAGCUUACUGCAUACUAGUAAUAGUAAGUAUAGUAAGUGAUAUCUGCCCGGUGUAUGCUUAAUAAAUAAUUUAGCUAAAUGGUUAAAUUAUAAAAAGCAUGUUAACGGCGGUCUUAUUGUGAGGAUCCGAAGGUAGCGAAAUUCAUUGACGCAUAAUUGGUGUCCUGCAUGAAUGAUUACACGAUGCGACAACUGUAUCCAUAGUAGACUCAGUGAAAUAGCACUCGCGGUGAAGAUGCCGUGUACCCGUAGGUUGACAAAAAGACCCUAUGCAGCUUUACUAUAUCUUUAUUUUGAUUUAAAUAUUAUAUAUCUCAGUAGAUUAGGUUAUAUUUAUUAUUUUAAAUAAAAUGAGAUACCUAUAUAUAUAAUUCUAGAAUCUAAUUUAUAUAACCCAAUCUAAUAGAUUGGGUUACUUAAGACAGAGUAAAGAAGUUAGUUUCGAUGGGGCGUCGACAUCAGCGAAAGCAUCUGAUGUGUCUAAUAAUAUUUAUAAUUUAUAUUUUAAUAUAAAUUUUUAUAAUUAUUACAUUAAAUUUAUUAUAUAAUAGUAAAUUACGUACAAUAGUAACUAUAUGGUAAAUAGUAUAAAUAAUGUUUAUAUGCAAGGAUAACAACAUAAUUGUGCGAUGAUAAUAACACUAACAAGUGGAAUUAGUACUUACGUAGAGUGUAGUGAACAGGCAUAAUCAAUUGAUAUGGAUGUCGAUAACGGAUUAAAGUUACGCUAGGGAUAACAGGGUAAUACCGCGUGAGAGUUGAUAUCGUCAGCGGUGUUUGCCACCUCGAUGUCGUCUAGACUCGUCCUCCUGGUCGCAGCAACUAGGUAGGGUAGGACUGUUCGUCCUCUAAGGAGUUACUUGAGAUGGGUUAAUUACGACGUGAGUCAGUAAUGAUUUUAUCAUCUAUGGGAUUUUUCUUAUCUGUUGCCUCAAGUGUACGAAAGGAUAGUGAGGUGCUUUCCAAUGGUUUUUUGUAUAUAUAUAUUUCGCUUUUUUUAAGCGAAAGGAUAUACAUUUUAGCUAAGAAGGUUGCGGAUAAAUAUUGAAAGCAUCUCAAAUAUUAAGCCCUUCAGAUAAGAUUUAACAUAUUAGACUAAUAUGUUAUAGUAAAUAUAUAUUUAUAUAUAUAUUAAACUAAUUAUUUUUAUUCAUAUACCU
rnacentral:rRNA from 1 species